rnacentral:piRNA from 1 species
UUAUGGUUUGCUUCUGUUCUGUUCUCCAGAC